rnacentral:rRNA from 1 species
GACGAACGCUGGCGGCGUGCCUAACACAUGCAAGUCGAGCGGGAACCUCAGGAGGGGUAACCCUCCUGAGGGGAGAGCGGCGAACGGGUGAGUAACACGUGGGCAACCUGCCCCGGACACCGGGAUAACCCAGGGAAACCUGAGCUAAUACCGGAUACUCCGGCGAGAUCGCAUGGUCGCGCCGGGAAAGCUCCGACGGUCCGGGAUGGGCCCGCGGCCUAUCAGCUUGUUGGGGGGGUAACGGCCCACCAAGGCGACGACGGGUAGCUGGUCUGAGAGGACGGCCAGCCACACUGGGACUGAGACACGGCCCAGACUCCUACGGGAGGCAGCAGUGGGGGAUCUUGCGCUAAUGCGCGAAAGCGUGACGCAGCGACGCCGCGUGGGGGAUGAAGGCCCUCGGGUUGUAAACCCCUUUCGGCAGGGACGAAGCGAAAGUGACGGUACCUGCAGAAGAAGUCCCGGCUAACUACGUGCCAGCCGCCGCAGUAAUAC